GUGAUCAUUUUGGCAGCACAUACACUAAAAGUGGAACUAUACGGAGAAUAGCAUGGCCCCUGUGUAAGGAUGACACAAUUUAAUAUUGUUUUUAAAGGCCUUUAU
ensembl:snRNA U6 U6 spliceosomal RNA